rnacentral:rRNA from 1 species
AUGAACGCUGGCGGCGUGCCUAGUACAUGCAAGUCGAGCGCACGGACGAGAAGCUUGCUUCUCUGAUGUUAGCGGCGGACGGGUGAGUAACACGUGGAUAACCUACCUAUAAGACUGGGAUAACUUCGGGAAACCGGAGCUAAUACCGGAUAAUAUUUUGAACCGCAUGGUUCAAAAGUGAAAGACGGUCUUGCUGUCACUUAUAGAUGGAUCCGCGCUGCAUUAGCUAGUUGGUAAGGUAACGGCUUACCAAGGCAACGAUGCAUAGCCGACCUGAGAGGGUGAUCGGCCACACUGGAACUGAGACACGGUCCAGACUCCUACGGGAGGCAGCAGUAGGGAAUCUUCCGCAAUGGGCGAAAGCCUGACGGAGCAACGCCGCGUGAGUGAUGAAGGUCUUCGGAUCGUAAAACUCUGUUAUUAGGGAAGAACAUAUGUGUAAGUAACUGUGCACAUCUUGACGGUACCUAAUCAGAAAGCCACGGCUAACUACGUG